UACGUAGGGGCCUAGUGUUGUCCGGAUUUAUUGGGCGUAAAGAGCGUGUAGGCGGCUUUGUAAGUCCGUUGUGAAAACUCGAGCUCAACCUCGAGACGCCGGUGGAAACUGCAAAGCUAGAGUCCGGAAGAGGAGAGUGGAAUUCCUGGUGUAGCGGUGAAAUGCGCAGAUAUCAGGAAGAACACCCGUGGCGAAGGCGGCUCUCUGGGACGGUACUGACGCUGAGACGCGAAAGCGUGGGGAGCGAACAGG
rnacentral:rRNA from 1 species